UUCCCUUAGUGCGCCAAAAGUACGUUCUGCUAGGGUUAGGCACUUGCCGUCGUCGAGCUAGUUCGAAGUUGCCUCCUACUCCAUUUCUGUCAUUCGCUCCGUGAGCUGUUGUGCUCGUACGUUCGGUGUUGGGGGCGUGUUGGGUCGUUUGCUAGCUUAAUCCAGUGGACUAUGGCACCUCCUCGCCGAGCUUCUCAGUCAUCCCAAGGGGACACACCAGAUAUCGCCAGAGCCAUAGA